GUGGUGCGGUUCCGUGGGAAACAAACCCAGGCCACCAAAGCUGUGAGAGCGCCGAACUUUAACCACUAGGCCAUCAGGGCUGGCUCCUUACAUACGUAUUUUUAACUGGACUGUUUUAUUCAGAGACUAACCCCAUCCCCCAAAGCCUUCCUGUCUGGUGUGUCCACAUGAGCUGGCUUAGUCCCAGGCCUCCACCCUAAACCCCUCCACUGAGAGUCUGCUGAGAGCAACAAGUUAAUCCAAGUUUGUGGUUUGUGGAUGCCCUCAUUCCCUGGUUUCAGUGCUAACGCAGGUUUCCCCUUUAACAUUCCUCUCCUCUUUGUUUUUCUUGGAUAAUAGAGGUUGAUUUCUGGUGGGACAAAUUGCCCAAAGUUCCCUGGACCGCCGCCUUGCUCACCUCCCACACUCAUCUCUCUGGAUUUGGAGCAUCAGUGUCUGAUCUGUCUCCUCACUCACCUGAGCCCUGAGGUUAGGGCUCAGGUCUGAUUCAUCUCUCAACAUGAGGCAGAGUUGGCCUCAAGAAAUAUGUAUGGAAUUGAAUCAACCCACUUAUUUGGCAUUGCCCAUCCCCAUCUAUGCUGCAGACUCUCAGAGUGCCUUACAUAAUUUACAGCCACCAGCAUGGUGCCUGGCGUACGCCUCACCCACUUCUUCCUCAUGGUGAAGAAGAGAGACCACUCUGAUGUGCCAGCGGGCAGGUGCCCACGCCUUGUGCCCCGUCUUCCAUGAGUCAGGAGCAAAGCUGAGCUGGCAGUGGAUUCACGAGAAGCAGUUCCCUGUGCUGAGGCUAUUUUACCUGUUUGUAUUGCUCACAAUACCACGUAUCAUUAGCAGCAAUUAAAACUGUUUCAGGAUCAGUUCAAAGCUGCCUUUGAGAACUGGCGCCAUAACCCACUGAAGCAGAAUGCCGGAAGCUGGACGCAGCUGUGGUCCCUGCUCCUAGGAGCUGUGCCAUCAAAGCCGGCACAACCCCCAACACCAACCCAGGGGGGCCGGGGGGCCGGGCCUCAGGACAGGCUGGGGCAGGAGGAGGGCCAGAUGGGGGCAGGCAACGGGACCCUGCUCACAGUGGUGAGUGCCCAGCGGUGGGAAGAAUGGACGGCAUCGUGUCCUUGGCCCCACAGCGUGGCGCGCAGAAGGCUGGAUGACCCACCGUCGAAGCUCGGGUGGCUGUGACUGGAGCUGCUUCAGGUGGUCAGCCAGCGCAUACACGUUGGUCUGAAACUCUUCAAAACUGGGCUGUUAAACAUCUGUAUCCUGUUUUCAUUAGCUUGAAAGCCAUAGUGAUGGAGACCUGCCUAGUUUUCUGAGCCAGCAAGUGUGCCCAGAGGCUAAUAAACAGCAGGUGCCCCCAGUAAAUAUGAUUCUAGUACUCAGUGUAAAUGUGCGUGCAAAUAAAUAUGUGAAAUGAAAGGUGGGAGCUGAAUUCUAUAUGCACGUUACACAGUUUCUUAGCUGUUCUGAACUGAGAACUGUAGUGCGACUGUGUGUGUGUGGUGUGUGUUCUACAUGUGCAGGAUGUGUGUACAGUGUGUGGGGAGUGUGUUUUUGCA